GGUGGGCAAAUUCAGCUGGCUAUUAUUGGAAAAGCAACCUCUAUCAAGGGAUGCUGCUGAGCUGCUGGCAUCGGGCUGAUGGGCAAGAACCUCUUCUAUCAGCAUAGCUGCUUGGAGAAGGCACAUCUGUCCACAUGUUUAAAGCCCUGUCAUUCCAGAAAAAAAUGAAAGAAUUUGAAGAACAAUUAAAAGUGGCAACUCUAGCAAAAAGACCAGGAAAAAGAACAAAUGGCAAUUGAUAGCUGGAAAAAAUCAGAAGAACAUCACUGAUGGAUGGCAGCUAAGAAUGGUGUGCUUUGUCUUUGAGAACAGUGCUUGAAGGAGGCAAGGAAGAACCAUGGACUGCUGCAAACUGUUUGCCUACAGAGGUGCUGCUGGGAGAGGUAAUAACUGCUUCCCUGACAGGCCAUGAACAACGAGUUUUUCCACAUUAGCUGAACAAAUCUAUCCAGAUGAUGGUGAGUCCGAUAUUGGUUUUUAAUUUCACUGCUCGGCCCUUAGUGAAGCGUCUUCACAAUUCCAGAUGACUUGUAGCUAGCUAAAUAAUUAUAAAUGUGAAUCCUUAAAACUCUGAAAUGUAGGCCCCUCUGAAAAAAGACCAACUUGCAUCGAAUACAAGCAGCAUAUGCCAGCAACACAUCCUAAAAGUACACAAUGCAUGUACUUGCAGGAAAAUGUAAAGUCUGCAGAUAGU